GACGAACGCUGGCGGCGUGCCUAAUACAUGCAAGUAGGACGCAGUUGCGAACGGGUGAGUAACGCGUAGGUGACUACCUAUUAGAGGGGGAUAACUAUUGGAAACGAUAGCUAAUACCGCAUACUAGUAGAUGGACCUGCGUUGUAUUAGCUAGUAGGUAGGGGAAUGGCCUACCUAGGCAACGAUACAUAGCCGACCUGGGGGGGUGAUCCGCCACACUGGGACUGGGACACGGCCCAGAACCCCACGGGAGGCAGCAGAAGGGAAUCUUCGGCAAUGGGGGGAAACCUGACCGAGCAACGCCGCGGGAGUGAAGAAGGGUUUCGGAGCGUAAAGCUCUGUUGUUAAGGAAGCGGUACUUAACCAGAAAGGGACGGCUAACUACGUGCCAGCAGCCGCGGUAAUAC
rnacentral:rRNA from 1 species